rnacentral:rRNA from 1 species
UACAGAGGGUGCAAGCGUUGUUCGGAAUUAUUGGGCGUAAAGGGCGCGUAGGCGGCCUGUCGCGUCGGAUGUGAAAGCCCGGGGCUCAACCCCGGGUCUGCAUUCGAUACGGGCAGGCUGGAGUGUGGUAGGGGAGAUCGGAAUUCCUGGUGUAGCGGUGAAACGGGCAGAUAUCAGGAGGAACACCGGUGGCGAAGGCGGAUCUCUGGGCCAUUACUGACGCUGAGGAGCGAAAGCGUGGGGAGCGAACAGG